rnacentral:rRNA from 1 species
UACGUAGGCAGCGAGCGUUGUUCGGAGUUACUGGGCGUAAAGGGUGUGUAGGCGGUUUUCUAAGUUUGGUGUGAAAUCUCCCGGCUCAACCGGGAGGGUGCGCCGAAAACUGGAAGGCUUGAGUAUGGGAGAGGUAAGCGGAAUUCCUGGUGUAGCGGUGAAAUGCGUAGAUAUCAGGAGGAACACCUGCGGUGUAGACGGCUUACUGGACCAUAACUGACGCUGAGGCACGAAAGCGUGGGUAGCAAACAGG